CCUACGGGAGGCAGCAGUAGGGAAUAUUGCUCAAUGGGGGAAACCCUGAAGCAGCAACGCCGCGUGGAGGAUGAAGGUUUUCGGAUUGUAAACUCCUUUUGUUAGAGAAGAGAAUGACGGUAUCUAACGAAUAAGCACCGGCUAACUCCGUGCCAGCAGCCGCGGUAAUACGGAGGGGGCAAGCGUUAUCCGGAAUCACUGGGCGUAAAGAGCGCUGAGGCGGGGUAGCAAGUCAGAUGUGAAAUCCUCUGGCUUAACCAUAGAACUGCAUUUGAAACUGUUAUUCUAGAGUAUGGGAGAGGUAGGUGGAAUUCUUGGUGUAGUGGUGAAAUCCGUAGAGAUCAAGAGGAAUACUCAUUGCGAAGGCGGCCUGCUAGAACAUAACUGACGCUGAGGCGCGAAAGCGUGGGGAGCAAACAGGAUUAGAUACCCGUGUAGUC
rnacentral:rRNA from 1 species